GAGUAAUGUCUGGGAAACUGCCUGAUGGAGGGGGAUAACUACUGGAAACGGUGGCUAAUACCGCAUAACGUCGCAAGACCAAAGAGGGGGACCUUCGGGCCUCUUGCCAUCAGAUGUGCCCAGAUGGGAUUAGCUUGUUGGUGAGGUAACGGCUCACCAAGGCGACGAUCCCUAGCUGGUCUGAGAGGAUGACCAGCCACACUGGAACUGAGACACGGUCCAGACUCCUACGGGAGGCAGCAGUGGGGAAUAUUGCACAAUGGGCGCAAGCCUGAUGCAGCCAUGCCGCGUGUAUGAAGAAGGCCUUCGGGUUGUAAAGUACUUUCAGCGGGGAGGAAGGUGUUGUGGUUAAUAACCGCAGCAAUUGACGUUACCCGCAGAAGAAGCACCGGCUAACUCCGUGCCAGCAGCCGCGGUAAUACGGAGGGUGCAAGCGUUAAUCGGAAUUAC
rnacentral:rRNA from 2 species